GAUGAACGCUGGCGGCGUGCCUAAUACAUGCAAGUAGAACGCUGAAGGAGGAGCUUGCUCUUCUGGAUGAGUUGCGAACGGGUGAGUAACGCGUAGGUAACCUGCCUGGUAGCGGGGGAUAACUAUUGGAAACGAUAGCUAAUACCGCAUGACAACAGUUAUUGCAUGAUAACUGUUUAAAAGGGGCAACUGCUCCACUACCAGAUGGACCUGCGUUGUAUUAGCUAGUUGGUGAGGUAACGACUCACCAAGGCGACGAUACAUAGCCGACCUGAGAGGGUGAUCGGCCACACUGGGACUGAGACACGGCCCAGACUCCUACGGGAGGCAGCAGUAGGGAAUCUUCGGCAAUGGACGGAAGUCUGACCGAGCAACGCCGCGUGAGUGAAGAAGGUUUUCGGAUCGUAAAGCUCUGUUGUAAGAGAAGAACGAGUGUGAGAGUGGAAAGUUCACACUGUGACGGUAUCUUACCAGAAAGGGACGGCUAACUACGUG
rnacentral:rRNA from 1 species